AGUGCUGUAGCUCAGGGGUAGAGCAUCUCCCUUCCAUGGAGAAGGUCCCAGGUUCAAUCCCUGGCACCUCAA